UACGUAGGGUGCGAGCGUUAAUCGGAAUUACUGGGCGUAAAGCGUGCGCAGGCGGUUGGUUAAGUCUGAUGUGAAAGCCCCGGGCUCAACCUGGGAAUGGCAAUGGAUACUGGCGAGCUAGAGUGUGUCAGAGGAUGGUGGAAUUCCCGGUGUAGCGGUAAAAUGCGUAGAGAUCGGGAGGAACAUCAGUGGCGAAGGCGGCCAUCUGGGACAACACUGACGCUGAGGCACGAAAGCGUGGGGAGCAAACAGG
rnacentral:rRNA from 1 species